rnacentral:rRNA from 1 species
CAACAGGGAUUGCCCUAGUAACGGCGAGUGAAGCGGCAACAGCUCAAAUUUGAAAUCUGGCUCUCGGGCCCGAGUUGUAAUUUGUAGAGGAUACUUUUGAUGCGGUGCCUUCCGAGUUCCCUGGAACGGGACGCCAUAGAGGGUGAGAGCCCCGUCUGGUUGGAUGCCAAAUCUCUGUAAAGUUCCUUCGACGAGUCGAGUAGUUUGGGAAUGCUGCUCUAAAUGGGAGGUAUAUGUCUUCUAAAGCUAAAUACCGGCCAGAGACCGAUAGCGCACAAGUAGAGUGAUCGAAAGAUGAAAAGCACUUUGAAAAGAGAGUUAAAAAGUACGUGAAAUUGUUGAAAGGGAAGCGUUUAUGACCAGACUUGGGCUUGGUUAAUCAUCUGGGGUUCUCCCCAGCGCACUUUUCCAGUCCAGGCCAGCAUCAGUUUUCCCCGGGGGAUAAAGACUUCGGGAAUGUGGCUCUCUCCGGGGAGUGUUAUAGCCCGUUGUGUAAUACCCUGGGGGGGACUGAGGUUCGCGCAUCUGCAAGGAU